rnacentral:rRNA from 1 species
UACGAAGGGUGCAAGCGUUACUCGGAAUUACUGGGCGUAAAGCGUGCGUAGGUGGUGAGUUAAGUCUGUCGUGAAAGCCCCCGGGCUCAACCUGGGAAUGGCGAUGGAUACUGGCUCGCUAGAGUGCGGUAGAGGAGAGUGGAACUUCCGGUGUAGCAGAUGAAUGCGUAGAGAUCGGGAGGAACAUCAGUUGCGAAGGCGGCUCUCUGGACCAGCACUGACACUGAGGCACGAAAGCGUGGGGAGCAAACAGG